rnacentral:lncRNA from 1 species
RCUGAACAGACACUUGGACUGACAGAUGGCCUUCCUGCUCCCUGGAAAGCACCCCCAACAUACUCUGGAGGCUGAAGGGCAGCUCCUAGGGGGCUGUGUUUCCUCUCACUUGUUCUUGGUGGUCUGUUGCCCCAGAGAAGCCAAUGGACAAAGAUGGUUUCCACAGGUGCCUUGAUUGCUGCACUGGGACUCCCAAGCUCCAGAGCCAGAGUAUCUGCAGUUCCAGGAAUGCGAGGACAGCUUGAGGCCAUUCCUCAAGACAGGAUGAGGGACAGCCAGCUGAGCCAUCCCCCUACUCCUGGGCCCACACCCACAGCUGGAUCAGGGCUACCCGCAGGUUAUCGUGUGGGCAUGAAGGGCUACAGAGCAAAUAUGGCCAGGCAGUGGCUCUGAUGUCAACCUGGGGUCAGGCUCCUGCCCUGCCACACUUCCCCCUGCUGUGGCACCUCAACCUGGGAUAAGCUGUUUCCUUCCAUGCAAAAUGGACACUGACCUCACAGACAUGGGUAAGUUGAGAGGUGACAGAGUGCUGAGGAUGUCAAAGUGCUCUUGGUCACCUGCAGCAAGGCUGGUCCUCUUCUAAAGGCCCCCAAAUUGACAAGAUUAAUGCAGAGUCCCUCCAGUGGAAAGUUUGUGAAAAUGUGUGUUUGCCACAAUACAUCCUGUCAAGGCCCUGCCCUGCGGUGUUUGUGCACGUGACUGUCUCACUGGGCUGAAUAGAUCGUUGGAAUCUUUCAGACUUCACAGCUGCCCCUAGUUACAGCUGAAGUUUGUUUGCUUCUUGGUCUCCCUUCCGGUCACUCCUUUUUUGAUACACAGUUCCAGCCAUAAGCAUACCAUGACAUUAACAGAUUCAUGUCAAGACUUUAGCCAAACAGCAAGCUUGAGAAUGGGUUUCCUCUAGGGAGCUGCACUGGCUAAUUAACAUCUGUUUUUAGUCUUGGGUUUUUAAAUUGUUUUUAGGACUAUGGUUCACUACCAAGACCUUAAAAUAACAUUUUGUGCAAACAUAAGUUUUUAAAAAAAAAACAGUUCAAAUAUUAAUCCUUAAUAAAGCUUGGAUAUGUGGGUGUGGAGAGAAGGCG